rnacentral:rRNA from 1 species
AGAACGAACGCUGGCGGCAGGCUUAACACAUGCAAGUCGAACGCGUGUAGCAAUACACGAGUGGCGCACGGGUGAGUAACACGUGGAUUAUCUGCCUUUUGGUUCGGAAUAACCCCGGGAAACUGGGGCUAAUACCGGAUGGUUCCUUCGGGAUAAAGAUUUAUCGCCAAAAGAUGAGUCCGCGUCCGAUUAGCUAGUUGGUGGGGUAACGGCCCACCAAGGCGACGAUCGGUAGCUGGUCUGAGAGGACGAUCAGCCACACUGGGACUGAGACACGGCCCAGACUCCUACGGGAGGCAGCAGUGGGGAAUAUUGGACAAUGGGGGCAACCCUGAUCCAGCCAUGCCGCGUGAGUGAUGAAGGCCUUCGGGUUGUAAAGCUCUUUUGGCGGGGACGAUGAUGACGGUACCCGCAGAAUAAGCCCCGGCUAACUUCGUGCCAGCAGCCGC